rnacentral:rRNA from 1 species
UUGGAGGGCAAGUCUGGUGCCAGCAGCCGCGGUAAUUCCAGCUCCAAUAGCGUAUAUUAAAGUUGUUGCAGUUAAAAAGCUCGUAGUUGAAUUUCGGGAUUGACGUGAUGGUCAUGCCUUAAGGGGUAUGAACUGUUGCUGUUGAUUUCUCACCUUAUGGAGAAACUUGAUGUCCUUAAUUGGGUGUCUUGCGGAUCCAGGACCUUUACCUUGAAAAAAUUAGAGUGUUUAAAGCAGGCAUUUUUGCUCGAAUACAUUAGCAUGGAAUAAUAGAAUAGGACGGCAUGGUUCUAUUUUGUUGGUUUCUAGGAUCACCGUAAUGAUUAAUAGGGAUAGUUGGGGGCAUUAGUAUUCAAUUGUCAGAGGUGAAAUUCUUGGAUUUAUUGAAGACCAACUACUGCGAAAGCAUCUGCCAAGGAUGUUUUCAUUAAUCAAGAACGAAAGUUAGGGGAUCGAAGACGAUCAGAUACCGUCGUAGUCUUAACCAUAAACUAUGCCGACUAGGAAUCAGACGAUGUUAAUUUUUUAAUGACUCGUUUGGCACCUUACGGGAAACCAAAGUGUUUGGGUUC